rnacentral:lncRNA from 1 species
GACACACCAGGCACACCUGGAUGAGUGUGGCACCCGUCCCUGCCUGUGUCACCUGUGUCCCCAGGUGUCACACCUGGCCCUGGGUGUGUCACACCCAUCCUUGUCCCCCCAGCCCAGGUGUGUCACACCUUUGGUCCGGUGUGGCUGUCCCAGGUGUCACACCUGUCCCCAAGGGUGUCCCAGGUGUCUCUGAGUGUGUCACACCUGUCUGGCUGUGUCACACCUGCCCAGGAGUGUCACAGGUGUCUCUGACAAUGUCACCUGUGUCCCCAAGUGUCACACCUGUCCCUGACAGUGUCCCACCUGCCCCCGAGUGUGUCACAGGUAUCCCUGACAGUGUCACACCUUCCAUGUCCCUGUCCCACUUGUCCCCAAGUUUCACACCUGUCCCACCUGUCCCCGGGUGUGCCCCAGGUAUCCCUGACAGUGUCACACCUGUCCCCAAGUGUGUCACAGGUGUCUCUGAGAGUGUCCCACCUGUCCCUGGGUGUGUCCCACCUUUCUGGCUGUGUCACACCUGUCCCUGUCCCCGCUGCCCAGGUGUGUCACCUGUCUGUUCCUGUCCCACCUGUCCCCAGGUGUGUCCCACCUGUGUCACACCCGUCCCUGUCCCCAGGUGUCCCCCCUGCUCACCUGAGCCUCUCUCUGUGCUGCCGUUUGUGGGGGAGGGGACACAGCCGGGGGCGUGGCCUUGGGGGCGUGGCCUUGGAUCCACCCGGAGUGGGCGUGGCCAAAGGGGUGGGACGGCUCUGGGUGUGUCCCAUUGGUGGGCGUGGCCCUGACCCCACCCAAGAGGUGACCCAGGUGUGACCCUGAGGGUGACCCAGGUGUGGGCGUGGUUAACGGGGCGUGGCCCAGGUGUGGGCGUGGCCGGUGGGCGUGGCCCGGCACACCGGCAGGUUCGUUAAUAGUCAGCAGCAGUGUAAUUAAAAUUUUGUUAAUGAAUGCCUCGUUAAUGACUCUCCAUUGAUGAGACCCUGUUAAUUUAACCCCUAAUUAACCCCCUGUUAAUGAACCCCCACAAUGAGCCCCGUUAAUGAGCUCCCCAGUAAUUAACCCCAUAAUGAACCCUUGUUAAUGAGCCACCAGUAAUUAACCCAAUAAGGAGCCCCCGUUAAUGAGACCCCAUUAAUUAACUUGAUAAGGAACCCCCAUUAAUGAGCUCCCCAGUAAUUAACCCCAUAAUGAACCCUGUGUAAAUAAACCUCCAUUAAUGAACCCCCA